UGAGUAAAGUGGCGUACGGGUGAGUAACACGUGGAUCAUCUACCUCUUGGUGGGGAAUAACCCUGGGAAACCGGGGCUAAUACCGCAUAAGCCUGCAAAGGGAAAGCAGCAAUGCGCCGAGAGAGGAGUCCGCGGCCGAUUAGCUAGUUGGCGGGGUAAUGGCCCACCAAGGCGAAGAUCGGUAGCCGGCCUGAGAGGGCACACGGCCACACUGGCACUGAAACACGGGCCAG
rnacentral:rRNA from 1 species